rnacentral:miRNA from 1 species
UGGCCAAAAAGUUCGUACGGGUUUUUCCAUAAGAAAAAUGUUACGGAAAACCUGAACAAAUUUUUUGGCCA